rfam:Oryza meridionalis cultivar OR44 (W2112) chromosome 5, whole genome shotgun sequence.
AAUAAGUGCAGUUGUGGAUUUCUGUGUUCAACGUUUGACCAUCUGUCUUAUUUGAUUUUUUUUUAUAAUUAGUAUCUUUGUUGUAAUUAGAUGAUAAAAUAUGAAUAAUACUUUAUACGUGAAUUAUUUUUAUUAUUUUUUAAUAAAAUUUCAAAUAAGACGGAUGGUCAAGCAUUGAACGCAUAAACCCACAACCGCACUUAAA